UGAACGCUGGCGGCGUGCUUAACACAUGCAAGUCGAACGAGAAAGGGAUUGCUUGCAAUCCUGAGUAGAGUGGCGCACGGGUGAGUAACACGUAGAUAAUCUACCUUCAAGCCCGGGAUAACUAUUCGAAAGGAUAGCUAAUACCGGAUGAAGUUGACCGGCACAAGUUGGUUAAUGAAAGAUUGCCUCUUCUUGAAAGCAAUUGUUUGGAGAUGAGUUUGCGGACCAUUAGCUUGUUGGUGGGGUAAAGGCCUACCAAGGCUGCGAUGGUUAGCUGGUCUGAGAGGAUGAUCAGUCACACUGGAACUGGAACACGGUCCAGACUCCUACGGGAGGCAGCAGUGAGGAAUUUUGCGCAAUGGGGGCAACCCUGACGCAGCAACGCCGCGUGAGUGAAGAAGGCCUUUGGGUCGUAAAGCUCUGUCAACUGGGAAGAAGUUAUUAUUGUUUAAUAGAUGAUAGUAUUGACGGUACCAGUGGAGGAAGCGCCGGCUAACUCC
rnacentral:rRNA from 1 species